AUGGACACACUUCACUUCGCCUGCAUCCAAAUAGUCAUAGCCUUGCUCUUGUUCACUCAUGCCAAGAGCACCAUAGAGGGCAGCACAUCUGCCCUGCAUCCAAACGAUGCGAUCCCCAGCUGUGUUGCCGGUGAGAAGUCUGCCCUUCUUGCCUUCAGGGCAGGCCUAUCAGACCCUGCCAACCUCCUUUCAUCAUGGAAGGGCGAUGACUGCUGCCGAUGGAAGGGCGUCUACUGCAGCAACAGGACCGGCCAUGUUGUCAGGCUCGAUCUCCACGGAAACGGGCAGGCGCUAGCAGGCAACAUAAGCUCCUCGUUGCUUGGUUUACAUCAUCUUCGGUAUCUCGACCUCAGCCACAACAGAUUCGACAAGGUACAUAUACCGGAGUUCAUUGGUUCCAUUAACAAUUUGAGAUAUCUCGAUCUAUCAGGGUCACUGUUCAUUGGAAGGAUACCACCGCAGCUAGGGAAUCUCUCCAACUUACGAUACUUAAAUCUUGGAUACAUCUCAGACACCACAUACUCCACUGAUAUCACCUGGUUGUCACGGUUGACUUCCCUUGAGCACCUAGAUAUGUCUGGGCUGAACCUCAGCACACUUGUUCACUGGCUUCCAUCUGUGAACAUGCUUCCAACUCUGAAAGUUCUUCGCGUUACUAAUUGCCUGCUUAAAAAUAGCCCUGAUUCUCUUCUGCUCUCAAAUUUGACAUCUCUUGAAACACUCGACCUUUCGGAAAACCACCUCCAUAAGCAUAGCAGGCCCAACUGGUUCUGGGAUUUAACUAGCCUCAAGUAUCUAUAUAUCUCGGGCAAUGAUUUCUAUGGCCCGUUUCCAGAUGGGAUAGGUAAUAUGACCUCCAUUGUGGAGCUUGAUUUAUCAGACAAUAACCUUGUGGGCAUGAUACCAUCCAACAUGAAGAACCUAUGUAAGUUGGAGAGUUUGGUAUCUUUCAGGAACAAUAUCAGCGGGAGUAUAGCAGAGUUAUUGCAUCGAUUACCAAACUGUUCACCGAAUAAACUACAGGACUUGUCUCUAUCGGACAACAAUCUGACUGGAAGCCUACCAACUACACUAGUAGAGCCCUUGAGAAACCUGAACCAGCUGGAUCUCAGUGAUAACAAACUCACAGGUCAUGUCCCAGUGUGGAUAGGAGAGCUCAAACAGCUAACAAAUCUGGACCUUAGUUCUAAACAACCUGGACGGGGUCAUACAUGA
rnacentral:rRNA from 1 species